rnacentral:lncRNA from 1 species
GAAUUCAGGAGCUUAUCAAGAGACAGCUAAACUUUGUUGGCAGCUUCUCAGGAACACACAGCAGUUCAAAACUGGGAGUAUUUGCAUAGCAGUGAGGGGUUGGGGGAACAGAUUGCACUGAUAGCUCUUACUUUGGCCUUUCUCUAAAAAAUUACAGGAACCACAUCCUCCUUGAGCCCACCUGAGACAGACAGCAUAAAGAAAUGGUGACCAAAACUAACCAAGUCUCUCUGAGAUGAUCUGCUGCCUCCACUGAGCUUGGGAACAGCAAGUGCAAACAAUUUAGAAAAGAAUGGCUUCAAACCCUACCCAGAGCCAAGUCUCUGGGCUUUAGAUGAAGAGGAGAGCAAGGUACCUCUGAAAAAUGAAUGGGGGUCUGCAUGGAAAUCUGCACUUUCCAAAAAGGCUGAGUACAGCUGUGUAUAAUUAUGUGCAAAUGCACAAGGGUGGUGGUUCAGGAAAAUGUGUGC